AUACGUAUGGUGCAAACGUUGUUCGGAAUCACUGGGCAUAAAGAGCACGUAGGCGGUGGGGUAAGUCUGAUGUGAAAUCCCUCGGCCCAACCGAGGAACUGCAUCGGAUACUGCCCGACUAGAGUGCAGUAGGGGAGAGUGGAAUUCCUGGUGGAGCGGUGAAAUGCGUAGAUAUCAGGAGGAACGCCGGUGGCGAAAGCGACUCUCUGGACUGCAACUGACGCUGAGGUGCGAAAGCCAGGGGAGCAAACGGGAUUAGAAACCCCAGUAGUCC
rnacentral:rRNA from 1 species